AACGAACGCUGGCGGCAGGCUUAACACAUGCAAGUCGAACGCCCCGCAAGGGGAGUGGCAGACGGGUGAGUAACGCGUGGGAAUCUACCCAUCCCUACGGAACAACUCCGGGAAACUGGAGCUAAUACCGUAUACGCCCUACGGGGGAAAGAUUUAUCGGGGAUGGAUGAGCCCGCGUUGGAUUAGCUAGUUGGUGGGGUAAAGGCCUACCAAGGCGACGAUCCAUAGCUAGUCUGAGAGGAUGAUCAGCCACAUUGGGACUGAGACACGGCCCAAACUCCUACGGGAGGCAGCAGUGGGGAAUAUUGGACAAUGGGCGCAAGCCUGAUCCAGCCAUGCCGCGUGAGUGAUGAAGGUCUUAGGAUUGUAAAGCUCUUUCACCGAUGAAGAUAAUGACGGUAGUCGGAGAAGAAGCCCCGGCUAACUUCGUGCCAGCAGCCGCGGUAA
rnacentral:rRNA from 1 species